rnacentral:rRNA from 1 species
AGANCUUCGGGUCUAGUGGCGCACGGGUGCGUAACGCGUGGGAAUCUGCCCUUUGGUUCGGAAUAACAGUUGGAAACGACUGCUAAUACCGGAUGAUGACGAAAGUCCAAAGAUUUAUCGCCAGAGGAUGAGCCCGCGUAGGAUUAGCUAGUUGGUGUGGUAAAGGCGCACCAAGGCGACGAUCCUUAGCUGGUCUGAGAGGAUGAUCAGCCACACUGGGACUGAGACACGGCCCAGACUCCUACGGGAGGCAGCAGUGGGGAAUAUUGGACAAUGGGCGAAAGCCUGAUCCAGCAAUGCCGCGUGAGUGAUGAAGGCCUUAGGGUUGUAAAGCUCUUUUACCCGGGAUGAUAAUGACAGUACCGGGAGAAUAAGCUCCGGCUAACUCCGUGCCAGCAGCCGCGGUAAUACGGAGGGAGCUAGCGUUGUUCGGAAUUACUGGGCGUAAAGCGCACGUAGGCGGCUUUGUAAGUUAGAGGUGAAAGCCUGGAGCUCAACUCCAGAACUGCCUUUAAGACUGCAUCGCUUGAAUCCAGGAGAGGUGAGUGGAAUUCCGAGUGUAGAGGUGAAAUUCGUAGAUAUUCGGAAGAACACCAGUGGCGAAGGCGGCUCACUGGACUGGUAUUGACGCUGAGGUGCGAAAGCGUANGGAGCAAACAGGAUUAGAUACCCUGGUAGUCCACGCCGUAAACGAUGAUAACUAGCUGUCCGGGGACUUGGUCUUUGGGUGGCGCAGCUAACGCAUUAAGUUAUCCGCCUGGGGAGUACGGCCGCAAGGUUAAAACUCAAAUGAAUUNGACGGGGGCCUGCACAAGCGGUGGAGCAUGUGGUUUNAUUCGAAGCAACGCGCAG